GGAUGCGAUCAUACCAGCACUAAUGCACCGGAUCCCAUCAGAACUCCGAAGUUAAGCGUGCUUGGGCGAGAGUAGUACUAGGAUGGGUGACCCCUGCCUCGUGUUGCAUCCC
rnacentral:rRNA from 1 species